AUUGAACGCUGGCGGCAGGCCUAACACAUGCAAGUCGAGCGGAUGAAGGGAGCUUGCUCCUGGAUUCAGCGGCGGACGGGUGAGUAAUGCCUAGGAAUCUGCCUGGUAGUGGGGGAUAACGUCCGGAAACGGGCGCUAAUACCGCAUACGUCCUGAGGGAGAAAGUGGGGGAUCUUCGGACCUCACGCUAUCAGAUGAGCCUAGGUCGGAUUAGCUAGUUGGUGGGGUAAAGGCCUACCAAGGCGACGAUCCGUAACUGGUCUGAGAGGAUGAUCAGUCACACUGGAACUGAGACACGGUCCAGACUCCUACGGGAGGCAGCAGUGGGGAAUAUUGGACAAUGGGCGAAAGGCUGAUCCAGUCAUGCCGCGUGUGUGAAGAAGGUCUUCGGAUUGUAAAGCACUUUAAGUUGGGAGGAAGGGCAGUAAGUUAAUACCUUGCUGUUUUGACGUUACCAACAGAAUGAGCACCGGCUAACUUC
rnacentral:rRNA from 1 species